ACGGCUACCUUGUUACGACUUAGCCCCAGUCACCGGUUUUACCUUAGGGCGCUCCUUGCGGUUGCACACUUCAGGCACUCCCGGCUUCCAUGGCUUGACGGGCGGUGUGUACAAGGCCCGGGAACGUAUUCACCGCGCCGUGGCUGAUGCGCGAUUACUAGCGAAUCCAGCUUCAUGGAGUCGGGUUGCAGACUCCAAUCCGAACUGAGACAGGCUUUGAAGUUCCGCUCUGCGUCGCCGCAUCGCUUCUCUCUGUACCUGCCAUUGUAACACGUGUGUCGCCCCGGACGUAAGGGCCGUGCUGAUUUGACGUCAUCCCCGCCUUCCUCACAACUUGCGCCGGCAGUCUCGCCAGAGUCCCCAACUUUACUUGCUGGUAACUGGCGAUGGGGGUUGCGCUCGUUAUGGCACUUAAGCCGACACCUCACGGCACGAGCUGACGACAACCAUGCAGCACCUCGACGGAUGUCCCGUAGGACUGCCUCCUUUCAGAAACAUCCAUCCGUCGUUUGAGCCCGGGUAAGGUUCCUCGCGUAUCAUCGAAUUAAACCACAUGUUCCUCCGCUUGUGCGGGCCCCCGUCAAUUCCUUUGAGUUUCACCGU
rnacentral:rRNA from 1 species